UGGAGAGAUCCUUUUGGAUGACCAAAUGAGAGAAAGACAACAACCAACCUCAUUUUUUUUCACAUCCAUGUGCUUAAAUUUCAUCAACAUGACAGAAAAUCAAAGUUUUCGAGUGUCCUUAUUUGACAAGCAUAUUGAAACAGCAUGGAGGAACUAUAGGUUCCUCCAUUUCCCAAUAAAUACUGGAGGUAAUGAGAAGUCCACACAUGGAAAUCACUGGACCUUGCUUGUCCUGGACAAACAAGACAAUUUAUGAAAGUUCUACAACUCACUGAGGCCAAGGAGGGAUGAUGCAGAAGACAAAUAUGUCAAAGAUGCAAAACAAUUGCAAAAUUACGUGGAGAAUUUUUUGAAAGCUUGCCUUGAAAGAGACGCUCAAUCACAAC